rnacentral:misc_RNA from 1 species
GUGAUUGCAGAUUCCGUGAUCAUCGAAUCUUUGAACGCACCUUGCGCUCCAUGGUAUUCCGUGGAGCAUGCCUGUUUGAGUGCCAUGAAAUCUCCCACCCCAAGCGGUUUUUACAUGAAAAGGCUUGGGCGAUGGGGUCGGGAUGGGUGCCUCUGCCUGCGCUUCCUAUCAAAGGCACCCCCUAAAUGCUAGACCCCCGUGAGACACUUUCCAUCCUCCUCUCUAUUUGGGAUGAGGCACCCCAGCGAUGGUUUUGACCUGGCAUGUGGUGAGACUGCUUUUCCUAUGUCUCCUAUGGGAGGAAGGAUGGGUUUAGUUUGCUUGUGCUUCCAACUUGCCUCUGAUCAACAUCCAAAUUUCACUUCUGGUCAACACUCAGGUAAGAUCAGGAACUGAACUUAAGCAUAUCAAUAAGGCGGAGGAAAAAAGCGGAAGAA